GAUGAACGCUGGCGGUAUGCUUAACACAUGCAAGUCGAACGGUGUCUUCGGACACAGUGGCGGACGGGUGAGUAACGCGUGAGAAUCUGGCUUCAGGUCUGGGACAACCACUGGAAACGGUGGCUAAUACCGGAUGUGCCCUAAGGUGAAAGGUUAACUGCCUGAAGAUGAGCUCGCGUCUGAUUAGCUAGUAGGUGUGGUAAAGGCGCACCUAGGCGACGAUCAGUAGCUGGUCUGAGAGGACGAUCAGCCACACUGGGACUGAGACACGGCCCAGACUCCUACGGGAGGCAGCAGUGGGGAAUUUUCCGCAAUGGGCGAAAGCCUGACGGAGCAAUACCGCGUGAGGGAGGAAGGCUCUUGGGUCGUAAACCUCUUUUCUCAGGGAAGAAACAAAUGACGGUACCUGAGGAAUAAGCAUCGGCUAACUCCGUGCCAGCAGCCGCGGUAAUACGGAGGAUGCAAGCGUUAUCCGGAAUGAUUGGGCGUAAAGCGUCCGCAGGUGGCUAUGAAAGUCUGCUGUUAAAGAGUCUAGCUCAACUAGAUAAAAGCAGUGGAAACUACAUGGCUAGAGUACGUUCGGGGCAGAGGGAAUUCCUGGUGUAGCGGUGAAAUGCGUAGAGAUCAGGAAGAACACCGGUGGCGAAGGCGCUCUGCUAGGCCGCAACUGACACUGAGGGACGAAAGCUAGGGGAGCGAAUGGGAUUAGAUACCCCAGUAGUCCUAGCCGUAAACGAUGGAUACUAGGCGUGGCUUGUAUCGACCCGAGCCGUGCCGUAGCUAACGCGUUAAGUAUCCCGCCUGGGGAGUACGCCGGCAACUGUGAAACUCAAAGGAAUUGACGGGGGCCCGCACAAGCGGUGGAGUAUGUGGUUUAAUUCGAUGCAACGCGAAGAACCUUACCAGGGCUUGACAUGUCGCGAAUCCUCUUGAAAGGGAAGAGUGCCUUCGGGAGCGCGAACACAGGUGGUGCAUGGCUGUCGUCAGCUCGUGUCGUGAGAUGUUGGGUUAAGUCCCGCAACGAGCGCAACCCUCGUUUUUAGUUGCCAGCAUUAAGUUGGGCACUCUAGAGAGACUGCCGGUGACAAACCGGAGGAAGGUGGGGAUGACGUCAAGUCAGCAUGCCCCUUACGUCUUGGGCUACACACGUACUACAAUGCUCCGGACAAAGGGCAGCAAGCAUGCGAAUGCAAGCAAAUCCCGUAAACCGGAGCUCAGUUCAGAUCGCAGGCUGCAACUCGCCUGCGUGAAGGAGGAAUCGCUAGUAAUUGCAGGUCAGCAUACUGCAGUGAAUUCGUUCCCGGGCCUUGUACACACCGCCCGUCACACCAUGGAAGCUGGUAGUGCCCGAAGUCAUUACUCCAACCUUUCGGGGAGGAGGAUGCCUAAGGCAGG
rnacentral:rRNA from 1 species